CCUACGGGAGGCAGCAGUGAGGAAUAUUGGUCAAUGGUCGGGAGACUGAACCAGCCAAGCCGCGUGAGGGAUGAAGGUACAGAGUAUCGUAAACCUCUUUUGUCAGGGAACAAAGGCGGGGACGUGUCCCCGGAUGAGUGUACCUGAAGCAAAAGCAUCGGCUAACUCCGUGCCAGCAGCCGCGGUAAUACGGAGGAUGCGAGCGUUAUCCUGAUGUAUUGGGUUUAAAGGGUGCGCAGGCGGUUCGUUAAGUCAGGGGUCAAAGCCCGGGGCGUAACCCCCGGCCGGCCGUUGAAACUGGCAGUCGCGAGUUGGAGAGAGGUAUGCGGAAUGCGCGGUGUAGCGGUGAAAUGCAUAGAUAUCGCGCAGAACUCCGAUUGCGAAGGCAGCAUGCCGGCUCCACACUGACGCUGAGGCACGAAAGCGUGGGUAUCGAACAGGAUUAGAUACCCCUGUAGUC
rnacentral:rRNA from 1 species